GUGUGAGCGAGUGUGUGAGUGAGUGUGAGAGCGUAUGUGGGUGUGUGAGCGUGAAUGUGUGUGUGAGUGUGUGUAAGCGAGUGUGAGAGCGUAUGUGGGUGUGUGAGCGUGUGUAAGCGAGUGUGAGGGUGUGUGAGCGGGUGUGUGAGCGUGUGUGGGAGCGCGUGUGUGGGCGAGUGAGCACGUGAGCGCAUGUGUGGGCGUGUGAGUGUGUGAGCGUGAAUGUGUGAGUGUGUGCGUGUGUGUGAGCGAGUGUGUGAGUGAGUGUGAGAGCGUAUGUGGGUGUGUGAGCGUGAAUGUGUGUGUGAGCGUGUGUAAGCGAGUGUGAGAGCGUAUGUGGGUGUGUGAGAGCGUAUGUGGGUGUGUAAGCAUGUGUGAGAGCGUGUGUGGGUGUGUGGGUGUGUGGGUGUAUGUGAGAGUGUAUGUAGGUGUGUGUGGGUGUGUGGGUUUGUGAGCGUGUGUGGGUGUGUGAGCGUGUGUGAGAGUGUAUGUGGGUGUGUGUGAGAGUGUAUGUGGGUGUGUAAUCGUGUGUGAGAGCGCUGUGGGUGUGUGAGCGUGUGUGAGAGCGCUUUGUGGGUGUGUGAGAGUGUAUGUGGGUGUGUGAGCGUGUGUGAGAGCGAGUGUGGGUGUGUGAGCGUGUGUGAGAGCGAGUGUGGGUGUGUGAGCGUGUGUGAGAGCGUAUGUGGGUGUGUGGGUGUGUGAGAGCAUAUGUGGGUGUGUGGGUGUGUGAGCAUGUGUGUGGGUGUGUGGGUGUGUGAGCGUGUGUGAGAGAGUAUGUCGGUGUGUGGGUGUGUGAGCGUGUGUGAGAGCGUGUGUGGGUGUGUGUGUGGGUGUGUGAGCAUGUGUGUGAGGAUGUGUGUGAGCUUAUGUAGGUGUGUGGGUGUGUGAGUGUGUGUGUGGGUGUGUAACGCCAUACCAGUCUGGGGCUGCAAAGCACAGAAGGGUCACCUUUUAAACUUAACACAGAACACAGUGAGUUCUAGACAACACAGAUGGUAUUACUGCCCUGUUCCCUCCCCUCCACACACACACACACACACAGCUGAACACACACACACACACAUUAGGUCAGCUGUCCUCAUGCAUUCCCUCUGUUUUCAGCUUGCUAAGGUGACCUGGCCCCCUCGUCUGUGCAGCUGCAAUUAACCUCACCAGCAAUGGCUGUGUGUAGUUAAAACAUACUCAUUCUUUGGAAUACAGAGGUUUUAUCACACACACACACACAGACGCACAAGGACAUGUACAAACACAGACACACAGAGGCACACAGACAUAUACAAAUGCACACGGACAUAUACAAACACAGACACACACACACACACACACACACACACACACACAC
ensembl:lncRNA